AUUGAACGCUGGCGGCAUGCCUUACACAUGCAAGUCGAACGGUAACAGGUUAAGCUGACGAGUGGCGAACGGGUGAGUAAUGUAUCGGAACGUGCCCAGUCGUGGGGGAUAACUGCUCGAAAGAGCAGCUAAUACCGCAUACGACCUGAGGGUGAAAGCGGGGGAUCGCAAGACCUCGCGCGAUUGGAGCGGCCGAUAUCAGAUUAGGUAGUUGGUGAGGUAAAGGCUCACCAAGCCGACGAUCUGUAGCUGGUCUGAGAGGACGACCAGCCACACUGGGAAUGAGACACGGCCCAGGCCCCUAGGGGAGGCAGCAGGGGGGAAUUUUGGAAAAUGGGCGCAAGCCUGAUCCAGCCAUGCCGGGGGCGGGAAGAAGGCCUUCGGGUUGUAAACCGUUUUUGUCAGGGAAGAAAAGGUUCUGGCUAAUACCUGGGACUCAUGACGGUACCGGAAGAAUAAGCACCGGCUAACUACGU
rnacentral:rRNA from 1 species